rnacentral:tRNA from 1 species
AAAAAGUGGUGAAAUUUAUCAUUUUACGUUGUCGAUGUAGGGUUACCCAGUUGGUUGGGUCUUUUUCGA